GGAUUAGAUACCCUGGUAGUCCACGCCGUAAACGAUGUCUACUAGCCGUAGGGUUCCUUGAGGACUUUGUGGCGCAGCUAACGCAAUAAGUAGACCGCCUGGGGAGUACGGCCGCAAGGUUAAAACUCAAAUGAAUUGACGGGGGCCCGCACAAGCGGUGGAGCAUGUGGUUUAAUUCGAAGCAACGCGAAGAACCUUACCAGGGCUUGACAUCCUCGGAACUUUCCAGAGAUGGAUUGGUGCCUUCGGGAACCGAGUGACAGGUGCUGCAUGGCUGUCGUCAGCUCGUGCCG
rnacentral:rRNA from 1 species